rnacentral:rRNA from 1 species
AGUGGCGGACGGGUGAGUAACGCGUGAGCAACCUGCCCUUCGGAGGGGGACAACAGCUGGAAACGGCUGCUAAUACCGCAUGAUGUAUUCGGUAGGCAUCUACUGAAUACCAAAGAUUUAUCGCCGAGGGAUGGGCUCGCGUCUGAUUAGCUAGUUGGUAGGGUAACGGCCUACCAAGGCUGCGAUCAGUAGCCGGACUGAGAGGUUGAACGGCCACAUUGGGACUGAGAUACGGCCCAGACUCCUACGGGAGGCGGCAGUGGGGAAUAUUGGGCAAAAUGGGGGCAACCCUGACCCAGCAACGCCGCGUGAAGGAAGAAGGCUUUCGGGUUGUAAACUUCUUUGACCAGGGACGAAACAAAUGACGGUACCUGGAAAACAAGCCACGGCUAACUACGUGCCAGCAGCCGC